AACACAGAACAUGGAAGUGGUAAAAAACAGUCGCGAAUAUCAGCUCGUUUUAUGUAUUCUAUUUUCAAUUGGAAUACUUCUCGGUGCAGUAAAUAUCGCCAAAAUAUAUGCGCAAAUUGAAAACAACAUAGAGAAAACUUCGAAGUAUGAAUAGAUACACUUUAACGCAAAAACAGCAGAAAUGCGCAAUCGAUACGAACGGAUCUGAGGGAACCUUAUGUGCAGUUUUCCUUCAAUCCUACAAACGGCAGACAUCAUCGGUUAGAAGUGAUAUGAGGACGGAGAAGGUAGUUUCGAACGAGAUAAAAACUCGAUCUGUGUUAAUGAAGAAACAUGCAGUAGCUGCGACCAGCCGCCCACCGUUUACCACAAGAUCUACAUGAAUGUUUGAGACUGGCCAACAACGGAAAUUUCAGGAAGAUGUUUUAAACGAGAAUGGAACAGAAUGAAAAAUGCUAUGCUGGAGAAUUACAUUGAUUGACGUUCACGAUUACAUUGCUAAGAGAGCAAUUGGAUACGCACAAGUUGUAAGAAACUGCGCUUGACGUACACUCACAGGAAUUUCAGAGCCGCACAUGUUAACUUCUAUACAUACAUUAAAGACAACGACGAAUUUAAUCUCGCUGUUCAUGGCUGUAAAUGAACGAGACAUUGUACUUAGAUGAUAAGUUUUUCCGACCAAUGGAUUUUCAUUCCUCAGGGCACCUCAGAUACAAAUGGAACAUUGGCGCCUGGCAAGAACUGCACAUUUCCGUCCGGGAAUAUGACGACAUGCUCCUUCACUCAAAGAAAUUCGCAAUCAUCAAUGCCAUCUCUAUCUCUAUACGAAGAAUAAAAUACAACAAUUGAUUAAAUCAUGUUUAUGAUAUUCACUAUCUUGACAAACUUUUUUUUUCAGGUGGUCCAAUUCAAGUUCAGGAUGUAUCCAUCGAUAGGCUGCAAUUGUUCUGCAAUCCGGGGAAGAAAUCGAUUACUAUAUUGGCUCACCAUGAGCUGGAUUCGUGACCACUUAACAACGAUUCCACGUAAACACACUGAAUACAGAAAUCCUAAUUGUCGAUGAUUGCAGUGUAUA